rnacentral:snoRNA from 1 species
AUGACCUUCCAAGUUUUUAAAAGAAGACGAUGAUACUAUUUGCGUUUAUUUGUCGAACAAUUCUUCUCGAGGCUUUUUGUCUCGAGGUUUUACUGGAGAAUACGGGGCCUGCGCAGCCAAUUAUCUUGUUACAUCAUUUCGAAUGAUUCAAGGACGUUUUACUAAAAAAUUCUGAUUCUU